rnacentral:misc_RNA from 1 species
GCUGAUUUAUUGUUCCACUCACAGUAUGAGCAGCGUUGUGAGUAGCACAGCGCCCAGUCCAGCCAGUUUCAUUGACCCGAAUGGCACAGCAGCAGCCGCAGCUGCCGCCGUCGCAUCGAUGAUGACCGAAUCGACAACCUUAAAACCGAAUUUUAUUGUACAAGCCAAACCAAUGUCGUCGCCCAUUGAUCCGCUCAGUCACGUCGGUGAUGGUAUCUUCCUGCAAACAAAGACCGCUCAAGGACUUGCGACUGUAUUCGUGUGGGCGGCACUCUUUAUCACAUGCCAACAGAUUUAUCAACACCUGCGUUGGUAUACAAAUCCACAGGAGCAACGUUGGAUAGUACGUAUCCUAUUUAUUGUGCCCAUGUAUGCGACAUACUCGUGGAUCAGUUUAUUUUUCUUCAAUUCAGAUAAUGUGUACGUGUAUUUCUUUACCGUACGUGAUUGCUAUGAAGCUUUUGUCAUCUACAGUUUCCUGUCGCUAUGCUACGAGUACCUUGGUGGCGAGGGCAACAUUAUGUCCGAGAUACGUGGCAAACCCAUUAAAAGCUCGUGUCUUUAUGGCACUUGCUGCCUAAGAGGUAAAACAUAUACCAUCGGCUUCCUACGCUUCUGCAAGCAGGCUACAUUGCAAUUCUGCUUGGUGAAGCCGCUUGUGGCGUUUAUUAUUAUAUUCCUGCAAGCUUUUGGCCACUAUCACGAUGGUGAUUGGAGCGCCAAUGGUGGCUAUAUUUACAUUACUGUCAUCUACAAUAUAUCCGUUACUCUUGCCCUCUACGGCUUGUACUUAUUCUAUUUUGCUACGCGUGAUUUGUUAACACCCUUUGAGCCUGUGCUGAAGUUUUGUACAAUCAAAUCGAUUAUCUUCUUAUCAUUUUGGCAAGGUGUGAUGUUGGCCAUUUUGGAGAAGGCCAAGGUCAUCUCGCCGAUCGUCGACAGUGCUGGCACUCACACCUCAGCUGGUACUGUCUCGGCGGGCUAUCAGAACUUUUUCAUUUGCAUUGAAAUGCUAUUUGCUGCGAUUGCGUUACGCUAUGCCUUCCCCUAUCAGGUAUAUGCGCGCAGCUGUAUUGCCGACGGUCAAGGUCGCUCUGUAACAAUGCAAUCGAUUUCAAGCAGUCUUAAAGAAACAAUGAAUCCCAAGGAUAUUAUGACAGAUGCUAUACACAAUUUUCAUCCACAAUACCAACAAUAUACGCAAUACAGUUCCGAAGUUACCUCGUCUCAACGUUAUGAGAAACUUUAAAAUGCAUGACAUUCGUUGUGCUAAUAAUGAAUGUGCCGAGACGAAGACAUUUAAUGUUGUGAGAGAUAGAGAGAGAAGAGAGCGCAUUGAAAGAGGAUAAAAUGCUGUUGCGUUUAGAAAAUGCCUUUACGAAGUGCUUUUCGCAUACCAAAAUUGCCUUAUAAUAGUUAUAAACACAUAUACUACCUACAUAUUUAUACAUACAUACCUAUAUGAAUUGCAAAACAAAACCGUCUUAAAACGCUGUUUAUGAUAAAAAUGAAAAUUUUUAAGUGAAGCAUUGCAUAGCUCUUAAGUUUAUAUGAAGAAUAGCACAUACACACAUACAUGAAUUUCUAUAUGGCAAAGGCGUCAUACAUACUUGUAUAUGACGAUAGCCCUGUUUUUUGUGUUUUUCUUUUUUUAAUGUUUAAGUUUUUACGUGUGCUGAUUAUAAUCUGUAGCAAAGCACAAAAGCGUCUAUUUACUAGCUCAAUAUACACCUGCGCAAACAAGCAUUUUUGGCUAACAACUUUUAAGAUUUUUAUUGCAAAUUAAACCAAAAUUUUGUCCAAACACAUUCCUGCUCCAAAUGUCCAUAUUUGCUCACAUAAAAAUGUUUUCCAAAAAAUUCCCCAGCCUUCGAGGGUCACCAAGCCAAACCGCUUAGCACAAUGGAGUGUUUGGGCUGGUCUACUCAAACAAAAGGAACCCUAGGCGUAAUAUAUGUAUUAAAAUGCUUCUUUACUGGCACAACAUAACACAUUUUUAGAGAAUUUCGUCGUCUCUUAACCUGCUAGUUAGCUUAUCUUUUUUUAAUUCUUUAUACACCAUCUUACACACACUUUUUGUAGUUAUAACCCACUUUUUUUUUUAAUGAAAUGCUCAUCCAUCUUUAGGCAAAAAGGUACUUAGCGAAUGUCCAAAAUAGAAAGAAAACGACAUUUUACAAUUAUAAAA